UCCUAAGUUGCUUGGAACAGCACGUCAUAGAGGGUGACAACCCCGUCUGUGGCGAGGCCGGCCGCUGUCGAUGUGCUUUCAAAGAGUCGGGUUGUUUGGGAAUGCAGCCCAAAAUGGGUGGUAAACUCCAUCUAAAGCUAAAUAUUGGCACGAGACCGAUAGCGAACAAGUACCGUGAGGGAAAGAUGAAAAGGACUUUGGAAAGAGAGUUAAAAAGUACGUGAAACCGUUAAAAGGGAAACGAAUGGAGCUAGCAAUGCGCCCUGUGAGAUUCAGCCGGCCGGUGGUCCAGGCGCGUGGCUUGCAGAUCUGAAUUGACUGCGGCCGCGUGGUUUGGGCUCCCGACCGUCGCACUUCUUGCGGGCGCGCGUCAACAUGGGUUGGGAGUGGGUCUGAAAGGCACCGGGAAGGUAGGUCCGACCCCUCGGGGCUGGUCUGUUAUAGUCCGGUGUUCUCAUGGCUCGCGCCCGACCGAGGAGUUGCAGCACAUGCCUCUUGUGGCUGGGGUCCCGUCGUUCCGGUUGGUUGUCGACGGCGGUGGACUGCGUGCAGUGCACCGCGACUGCUGCCGGUCGCUACGGUGGUGACUUCGCACCAUGUGCUCAGGAUGUUGGCGGUCAUAUGGCUUCAUCCGACCCGUCUUGAAACACGGAA
rnacentral:rRNA from 1 species